GAUGAACGCUGGCGGGGUGCCUAAUACAUGCAAGUCGAGCGAAGAGGGGACGGGUGAGUAACACGUGGAAAACCUCAUAUAAGACUGGGAUAACGUUGGGAAACCGGAGCUAAACCGGAUACUUAUAGUUGGAUCCGCGCUGACUUAGCCAGUUGGUAAGGUAACGGUUGACAAAGGCAACGAGGCAUAGCCGACCUGAGAGAAUGAGCGGACACACCGGGACGGACAAACGGUCCAACAUACUACGGAAGGCAGCAGUAGGGAAUCUUCCGCAAUGGGCGAGAGCCUGACGGAGCAACGCCGCGUGAGUGAUGAAGGUCUUCGGAGCGUAAAACUCUGUUAUUAGGUAAGCGGUACCUAAUCAGAAUGCCACGGCUAACUACGUGCCAGCAGCCGCGGUAAUAC
rnacentral:rRNA from 1 species